rnacentral:rRNA from 1 species
ACGAAGGACCCGAGCGUUAUCCGGAUUUAUUGGGUUUAAAGGGUGCGUAGGCGGAUUAAUAAGUCAGUGGUGAAAGCCUCUCGCUCAACGGGAGAACUGCCAUUGAUACUGUUAGUCUUGAGUAUGGUUGAGGUGGGCGGAAUGUGUCAUGUAGCGGUGAAAUGCUUAGAUAUGACACAGAACACCAAUUGCGAAGGCAGCUCGCUAAGCCAUAACUGACGCUGAGGCACGAAAGCGUGGGGAGCAAACAGG